rnacentral:rRNA from 1 species
UUUCCUUUCCCCGAGGGGGACCUGCGAGAAGGAUC